rnacentral:misc_RNA from 1 species
GAGGAAACUCCGACCAAGUUUCAAGGAAAAAGAUGGUACUGUGACGGCUGGUAACGCUUCUAGCAUAAGUGAUGGUGCUGCCGCACUAGUUUUAGUAAGUGGAGAAAAAGCUGUAAAACUUGGACUAGACGUGAUUGCUAAGAUCUCAGGAUAUGCAGAUGCUGCACAGGAACCCGAACUAUUUACAAUUUCACCUGCUAAAGCAAUUCCAAAAGCCAUCAAAAGUGCUGGUUUAGAGGAGUCUCAAAUUGAUUACUACGAAAUUAACGAAGCUUUUGCGGUAGUAGCUCUAGCAAAUCAAAAGCUGCUUGGUCUUAACCCAGAAAAAAUUAAUGUACAUGGUGGAGCUGUUUCUUUGGGGCAUCCUCUUGGAUGUAGCGGAGCUCGUAUAUUGGUUACUCUACUUGGGGUAUUGAGACAGAAAGAUGGCAAAUACGGAGCUGCUGGUGUUUGCAAUGGAGGGGGAGGUGCCUCGGCCCUUGUUGUAGAACUUAUGUAAUACAUUUCUUCAGUCCUUUGGUGAGAAUUGCAAGCUUAGUUACAAGAGAUGGAGUUUCAAUGGUUGAUUAGAUUGAGUGGUUGGUGUCUUUAAGUAGAAGAUUGUUAAAUUUUUCUAUCUUCUUCCAAGCAUUUGUAGUCUUCACAUAUAAAUAAA